rnacentral:rRNA from 1 species
GAUGAACGCUAGCUACAGGCUUAACACAUGCAAGUCGAGGGGCAGCAUUUUAGUUUGCUUGCAAACUAAAGAUGGCGACCGGCGCACGGGUGAGUAACACGUAUCCAACCUGCCGAUAACUCGGGGAUAGCCUUUCGAAAGAAAGAUUAAUAUCCGAUAGUAUAUUAAAACCGCAUGGUUUUACUAUUAAAGAAUUUCGGUUAUCGAUGGGGAUGCGUUCCAUUAGUUUGUUGGCGGGGUAACGGCCCACCAAGACUACGAUGGAUAGGGGUUCUGAGAGGAAGGUCCCCCACAUUGGAACUGAGACACGGUCCAAACUCCUACGGGAGGCAGCAGUGAGGAAUAUUGGUCAAUGGGCGAGAGCCUGAACCAGCCAAGUAGCGUGAAGGAUGAAGGCUCUAUGGGUCGUAAACUUCUUUUAUAUGGGAAUAAAGUUUUCCACGUGUGGAAUUUUGUAUGUACCAUAUGAAUAAGGAUCGGCUAACUCCGUGCCAGCAGCCGCGGUAAUACGGAGGAUCCGAGCGUUAUCCGGAUUUAUUGGGUUUAAAGGGAGCGUAGGUGGAUUGUUAAGUCAGUUGUGAAAGUUUGCGGCUCAACCGUAAAAUUGCAGUUGAAACUGGCAGUCUUGAGUACAGUAGAGGUGGGCGGAAUUCGUGGUGUAGCGGUGAAAUGCUUAGAUAUCACGAAGAACUCCGAUUGCGAAGGCAGCUCACUAGACUGUCACUGACACUGAUGCUCGAAAGUGUGGGUAUCAAACAGGAUUAGAUACCCUGGUAGUCCACACAGUAAACGAUGAAUACUCGCUGUUUGCGAUAUACAGUAAGCGGCCAAGCGAAAGCAUUAAGUAUUCCACCUGGGGAGUACGCCGGCAACGGUGAAACUCAAAGGAAUUGACGGGGGCCCGCACAAGCGGAGGAACAUGUGGUUUAAUUCGAUGAUACGCGAGGAACCUUACCCGGGCUUAAAUUGCAACAGAAUAUAUUGGAAACAGUAUAGCCGUAAGGCUGUUGUGAAGGUGCUGCAUGGUUGUCGUCAGCUCGUGCCGUGAGGUGUCGGCUUAAGUGCCAUAACGAGCGCAACCCUUAUCUUUAGUUACUAACAGGUGAUGCUGAGGACUCUAGAGAGACUGCCGUCGUAAGAUGUGAGGAAGGUGGGGAUGACGUCAAAUCAGCACGGCCCUUACGUCCGGGGCUACACACGUGUUACAAUGGGGGGUACAGAAGGCUGCUACCUGGUGACAGGAUGCUAAUCCCAAAAACCACUCUCAGUUCGGAUCGAAGUCUGCAACCCGACUUCGUGAAGCUGGAUUCGCUAGUAAUCGCGCAUCAGCCAUGGCGCGGUGAAUACGUUCCCGGGCCU